rnacentral:snRNA from 1 species
UCAAUUUUCUUCUAUUUCGAUUC